rnacentral:lncRNA from 1 species
GACCCCAAGGUUUAGAUUUUCUAAUCCAAAAGCUGCAGAAUUUUUCCCAGCCACUGUCUGAACCAAAGACUCAGGCCAGAGGCCACAGCGUCUGUUUUUCUCUUCUCUUGAAAUAUUGGGACAGCAUCAAGAGUACAAUCCAGCUGAUGGACACACUCUCUCUAGGCAUUCCUGAUUUUUCUGAAGAAGGCUGCCCAGGAGAACCAGCAGAGAGGGCUGAGCUCCUGAAAAGCUGCCAUUGUCCACAUGGCCAGCUUAGCUGGUUCUCUAGAAGAAGUUGGUUUCUGGGACAUCGAUCAAAAUCCUGGUUACUGCUUCAGCAAGUUUGCUCUCAACAUGCUUACCAUGUGCCUGGCUUUGGAGUACAAGGACUAUGGGAUUAUCUGCACCUCUGUACACCCUGGCUGGGUGAAAAUCAGAAUGAAAACAGAGCAGGCCCCCCCAGACUGUGAAGGAAAGCACUCAAGGCCUGCUGAAGGUGAUUUCCAUGCUCACUGAGAAGGAUAAUGGCUCCUUCAUUGGCUGGGCUAGAAGGAGAGCCCCUUGGUGAGAAAGCAGCUUGCCAAGAUUUGGCUGGAAACAAACCCUGCAACACAGUGGAACCCAUGACCAGUAAACAUACCAGCUGAGGUCCCAAGUUUUUCUUGGUCUUUUCUUCUGCCUUUUGAGUUUCAUUACUUGGGAAGUGCAGAUUAUCCCUAUACACUACUGCUCAUCCAGCCAGGGCCAAACACAUGGCACCUU